UAACUGUCUGGGUCCUCAGAGGGGUCAUUCGGGGCUGAUGAGUGUUUCAGCCUGAGGCAAAGGGGGCAUGUCUCUGCCAAGAGACCGGGCCUGAAGAAGCAUGUUUCUGUGAGACACUAAUGGACACACUAGUGCAACAGAAUGCCUCUACCUGUGUAGUGUUCUGGAACUCUGUGUUUUGGAUUUUGCUCUGU